CAGUAGCCGCGGUAAAACGAAGGGUGCAAGCGUUACUCGGAAUUACUGGGCGUAAAGCGUGCGUAGGUGGUGGUUUAAGUCCGUUGUGAAAGCCCUGGGCUCAACCUGGGAAUUGCAGUGGAUACUGGGUCACUAGAGUGUGGUAGAGGAUAGUGGAAUUUCCGGUGUAGCAGUGAGAUGCGUAGAGAUCGGAAGGAACAUCUGUGGCGAAGGCGACUAUCUGGGCCAACACUGACACUGAGGCACGAAAGCGUGGGGAGCAAACAGGAUUAGAUACCCGCGUAGUCCCUGUCUCUUAUAC
rnacentral:rRNA from 1 species